UUUUAAAGUAUUAAGUAAACUCCAAAUGAAAUUAUCUUGGUAUUUAAGAUUUUUAUACGUAUUUAAAAGUUGAGGGAAAGGAGGGAUUUGUUGAGAAAUUGGGUGAAAUUUUAGAGAGAGAAGGGUGAAACUUGGAAUUAAUCAAAGAAGAGAAAAGAGGGAAAUUAUUUUAUAAAUAGGAAAAGAAAAGGAAAAGAAAAGGAAAAGAAAAGGAAAAGAAAAGAGAAGAGGGAGAGAAGAAAACCCUAGCCGCGCCGCCGCCGCCGCCGCGAGCCACCGCCGCCGCCGCCGUCGCGAAACCCUAGCCGCCUACCCACGCCACACGCACAGCCGCGCCAGAAUUCGUCCAAGCUUCCUCGCACGCCGAAGCCGAGUCGAAGCCGUCCACCCGCGCGUCCGAACCCGGAACCGCCCGCGCGCCCGAAACCGAAACCCGCGUCCGCGCCACACGUGCCCAGCUCUCCCCGCGUGCAGCCGCGCCGCGCCGUGCGUUCCGCGUAGCCGAGCCGCGCCCCCUCCCUGUAGCAAGCCGAGCCGCACGCGAAGUCCCUGUACCGAGCCGAGCCGCGCCUACGCCAAGCCGAGCCGGUCCUGUCUUCUUCCAGUCGAGCCGCCAAGCCUGUUUUGGCUCCUUCCACCUAAAUUUUUGGUAAUUUCCAAAUUCCCUAGCCUGCCCAGUAAUUAAAUGAGUUAAUUUGGAAAUUUAAUUAAUUUAAUUACUUUCCUCAAGAAGCAAAUUGGACCAAAUAGCUGCUGCAGCUUAGGACUUCCUCAGUAGGAACUCAUCUAGCAACAUCUCGAGGUAGAGGACGAGGUAAGGGCAAGGGCAAACUGGCGAGCGACUCGAAGUGAGACCGUGAAGGGCCAUAGGGACUACCGCUUCCGCUUAUCUUUAUUUCAGAUUUUCGCACUUGAGUUCGAGUACUUUCAUUAUUUACCAUCUUUAUGUAGAUAGGGCCCGCUUAGGGAUUUUAAACUUAACUCGUAUUUCUACAUGUUACUUUAACUAUCUUUCAUAAAUAAAUUUGCUAGAUUUCUUUGCAUUUA